AUCCUAGCCGUAAACGAUGAUGACUAGGUGUGGGAGGUAUCGACCCCUUCCGCGCCGACGCUAACGCAUUAAGUCAUCCGCCUGGGGAGUACGGCCGCAAGGUUAAAACUCAAAGGAAUUGACGGGGGCCCGCACAAGCGGUGGAGCAUGUGGUUUAAUUCGACGCUACGCGAAGAACCUUACCUGGGCUCGAACGACUGGUAGUACCCUAUUUGAAAGGAUGGGGGACCCGCAAGGGAGCCAGCCGAGGUGCUGCAUGGUUGUCGU
rnacentral:rRNA from 1 species